UAUAGGACUCUGAUUGGGUCAAAGAUUAGCGUUCUAGAAUCUUUGGUAGCAAACCCAUAUGGCAACUUCACUGGUGAGACAAACGUUCACGGUCAGGAAGACGUUUUGGUAGGGGGGGGGAAACUGAUCAGAAAAUGUAACGGAACAUUGUAGAAAUGUAGGGGAGAGAACGGAAG